UAUUGCACUGUUAAACAACUUAUAAUAAAGGUUCCGAAACGAGGUGGCGCUAGUAACCGCUUAGUCGAAAAGGCUCGAGGUGAGAUUUUUGUCUAGUACAAUCACACUACCGCUAUCUCUUCAUCUACCCAUCUCCGCUCGCUUGUUUUCCUUGUUUUGCUACCGCGCUUGUUUUGUCGAGGGGUAAAGGCGCUUGGUGAUUUUUGCGGUUGCGACUGUUCUACGUUAAACUACCUUGUUGUUAUCAAAACGACUAAUCUUCCAAAUCAACCUGGAGAAGGGGUUGAAGAAAAUGGGAGCAGUGAAGCGAACAACGGCACAUCGCAAGAUUUUAGCGCUGCUGAAGGGCUUCAAAUGAGUCUCCACAGAAAUCCCUUGAAUCUGUAUGUUUUUUUAUGAAAAUACAGUUUGCACCUCAAGACAUCGAGCAAUGUUUGAUGAUUUAACCAAUUGAACAAGUUGAAUUACGGACUCAACUUUGCUUUUGUUUUUCUAUACAAUAUCAGCCGCUUCUAACAUGGUGCCACUAAAACCCCAGUUUGA